ensembl:lncRNA
GUUGUGAUGAUCUCAAGCCUGCUAGUGCAAUUUUGCUAUGUACCACGCCCCCCAUAUGAGAUAGGCUUUUCCUUAAGAGAGAUUCUUCCUGUCCACUUCUGGUGCCCUUGAGAAGAUUCUCUUACUGGUCAUCCCUUCUGGAAGCAGUAGGAUGCUGCUCAUUAGCUCUUUCUGUUUUACCAUUAUUGAAAACAUCCCUGUACCAACCAUUUGCUUUUUCAGAAUUUAUCUCCAUGCAUAACAGGUUUGUGGAGUACCUAUGUUGAGAACACACCUGUUUUCCUCAUCUUGGUUCCACACCCUUUUCUGCUCUAAUGAAUUUGUGGCAGGUGGCUUCAAACACGAGCUCCAACUUCACUGCCUGUUUCUGAGCCACUGACAUGGAGGAAGAGGAUUAUGGCACUUGGGUAUCUCCUCAGAAGCGAGCCCUUUGCUUGCUGAGAAUUCCUGGGGAGCUGAUUUGGCCAUCCCUCCCCUUUUAUCUGUCAUCUAGUUUGUGUAUGGUCUUCCUGUACUUGGACAGGCUUUGGUUAUCCUCCUCUUCCUGGACCAGCAAAUAUUUAACAAGAGAAACAUUUGCACUGGAAAAAAAGUGUCUUAGGAUAUGUCUGAUGUGAUCCUUCAGCAGAUUAACAAGAUACAGUUACAUGAUGGAGCAAUGAGCUUGGACAGGGAAUAUAUACAGCUGCUUCAAUUUAAUUCUCAAUAUUUUCAGUUCUACAGCUUCUCCAGCCAUUCUAUUUCUGCACACUAGUUGGUUUUGUUGUCAUCUUUUUUGCAAGAUCAUCUCCUUUAGAGGCUUAUUGUGGAGACUGAAAAUUCUGCAGAACGUGGUGUUUCUAUUUGGAGGACAGUUCUACAUCCAGUUACUUAAUCUGAAAAGGAACAGCAGGAUAAAUAAUCACAGAGGGGAUUUGAAGUGUUGAUGUAGAAUUAUGAGGAUCAAAAAAAGAAAUGGGAAGAUGGUAUCUACCCUGGGAGUCUGGAGAUGCUCGUGCUCUUGAGUUUUGUUGCAACACAGAAAUAAAGGUUGCCCUGCAGCUAACUGAAAAACUUGGCUUCAAUGUGAGAAGUAACUGAAGCACACAUUGGCAGUGGGUGGCAGAAGGGCCCAAGGUUUCAAAAGCGAACUGCGUGGGACCGCUGAAGAAACAGUCCAUUGAAAACCCACCUCAUGUAAGUUUUAGGCAAAGGUGGUCUCCAGCCCUUUCAAGCAGAAUUUCAAGUUGCUGAGCUCAUCCUCCAGCACCACUUGGUACUACUCAGGGUAGCACUUCCAUUGCCAGGAUCCAGCUCAGUAGAACAGUCCAUCUUUGCUCUCAUCAUUUGGCCCAAGCACACCUCAGCACCCAGCAAGUUCCCUCAUUCCUAUUGAAGAGAUGGGAAUCCAGUGUUCAUCCUGAGUACCCUGCUACACCUUCUGCUUCCGUUUCCAUUUGCAAGAAGUGUUUGCUGCUUCUGUGGAAUUUAUUAAAGAUUUCUUUAAUA